rnacentral:sRNA from 1 species
AUGGCUUUCCCCUAUCCUGACAGCAUCUUAACUCCUCAAUGUUUCUCCACAGCAAGAUUCCUAAAAAAGGCUUUGUGGAGGUAACUGAACUCACAGAUGUAACAUACACCAGUAACUUGGUACGUCUGAGGCCAGGCCACAUGAAUGUGGUCCUCAUCCUGUCGAAUUCUACCAAGACCAGCCUACUACAGAAAUUUGCUUUGGAGGUCUACACAUUUACUGGGAGCAGCUGCCUACACUUCUCCUUCCUGAGUCUAGAUAAACACAGAGAAUGGCUAGAAUACUUAUUAGAAUUUGCUCAAGAUGCAGCUCCAAUCCCAAACCAAUAUGAUAAGCAUUUCAUGGAGCGUGACUACACUGGUUAUGUACUGGCUCUGAAUGGCCACAAGAAAUACUUCUGCCUCUUCAAGCCCCAAAAAACAGUCGAAGAGGAGGAAGCCAUAGGGUCGUGCAGUGAUGUUGACUCUUCCCUCUACCUGGGUGAAUCUCGAGGGAAACCUUCCUGUG